rnacentral:rRNA from 1 species
UGAGGAAUAUUGGUCAAUGGACGGAAGUCUGAACCAGCCAAGUAGCGUGCAGGAUGACGGCCCUAUGGGUUGUAAACUGCUUUUAUACGGGGAUAAAGUUAGGGACGUGUCCCUAUUUGCAGGUACCGUAUGAAUAAGGACCGGCUAAUUCCGUGCCAGCAGCCGCGGUAAUACGGAAGGUCCGGGCGUUAUCCGGAUUUAUUGGGUAUAAAGGGAGCGUAGGCCGUAGAUUAAGUGUGUUGUGAAAUGUAGACGCUCAACGUCUGACUUGCAGCGCAUACUGGUUUACUUGAGUUUGCACAACGUUGGCGGAAUUCGUCGUGUAGCGGUGAAAUGCUUAGAUAUGACGAAGAACUCCGAUUGCGAAGGCAGCUUGCGGGAGCAAAACUGACGCUGAAGCUCGAAAGUGCGGGUAUCGAACAGG